CUCCUGGUCCCCGCCUCCCGCACCACGCCGUCUCCGAUCAAGAUUCUUCCCUGAUCCCCUUGCUGCUGCUGCCAUCAAAUCCUUGGACAUUUCCAGUUGCAAAUUUAGACUCUUCCCCCGCGAUUCCCAGCACUCCCAAGUCCCAUCCUUCCCGCUGCCCCAUCCCAUCCCACUAUCUCCCUAACCACUGUGAUUUAACCACCGAGGAGGCGGCAAGAAUCGUGUCCAGCUCCGCACCGUUGUUAGGCGGGAGUGGAGUGGACUGGUUAUCGUCCACGCAAGACGACGACGACGACGACGACGGCCGGAGCUCGCCGGAGCAUCGGUGUCAGAGAUGAGGGUCAUGAAGCUCGGAAAUAGGCCGGACACCUUCUUCUCGUCAGGCCCCGUCAGGUCGGUCUCCACGGAUUUGGCCACUGACAUGCAGAUUCUUGUGGAUGGUUGCCUGUUUCGUCUCCACAAGUUUCCUUUGCUUUCCAAGUGCAUGUGGCUGCAAGCGCUGUGCGUGGAGUCCGGCGACGGCGGCGGCGCCGUCGAGCUGCCGGCUUUCCCGGGCGGCGCGGAGGCGUUCGAGGCGUGCGCCAAGUUCUGCUACGGCGUGGCCGUCACGAUCGGGCCGCACAACGUCGUCGCCGUCCGCUGCGCCGCCGCGCGGCUCGGCAUGUCCGAGGCCGCCGACCGCGGCAACCUCGCCGCGAAGCUCGACGCCUUCCUCUCCUCCUGCCUCCUCCGCCGCUGGAAGGACGCGCUCGCCGUGCUCCACUCCACGCGCCGCUACGCCGCGCUCUGCGAGGAGCUCGGCGUCACGUCACGCUGCGUCGACGCCGUCGCGGCCCUCGCCGUCGGCGAUGCCUCCGGCGCCGUUCCGGCCGGUUCGUCUUCGUCGUCGCCGCCGUGGUGGGCGCGUGACAUCUCCGAGCUCGGGGUUGACCUCUACUGGCGCGUCAUGGUGGCCGUCAAGGCGACCGGCACCGUGCACGCGAAGGCCAUUGGCGACACGCUCAAAGCCUACGCGCGUCGGUGGCUGCCGAUCGCCGCCAAGAACCACCACGCGGCAGAGCGAACCGCCGGCGGCGGCGGCGGCGGCGCGGCCAAUGCCGAGCGGGCCACCAAGAACCACCGCCUCCUCGUCGAGAAGAUAGUGAGCUUGCUCCCGGCGGAGAGGAACGCCGUCUCCUGCGGCUUCUUGCUGAAGCUUCUCAAGGCGGCGAACAUCCUAGGCGCUUCUCCGGCGUCAAAGGCAGAGCUCACGAGGAGGGUGGCGUCGCAGCUGGAAGACGCCAACGUGAGCGACCUCCUGAUACCGGCGCCGCCGCCGUGCGCGGGCGGGGUGCUGUACGACGUGGACGCCGUGGUGACCAUACUCGAGGAAUUCGCGCUGCGGCAAGCGGCGGCGUCGGGGAGCCCGAAGGGCAGCCCGGCGCGCGCGGGCAGGCACCGGCGAUCGAUGUCGGCCGAGAGCGGUGAGCUCGAGGGGGCGCGCCGUUCGACGUCCAUGGCGGCGGUGUCGCACGGCGCGAUGGUCCGGGUGGGGAGGCUGGUGGACGGGUUCUUGGCGAUGGUGGCCACAAAGGACGCCCGCACGCCGCUCGACAAGAUGAUCGCCGUCGCCGAGGCCGUGCCGGACUUCGCGCGGCCGGAGCACGACGAUCUAUACCGAGCCAUCGACACAUAUCUCAGGGCGCACCCGGAGAUGGACAAGAGCUCGAGGAAGAAGCUGUGCAGGGUGCUCAACUGCAGGAAGCUCUCGGAGAAGGCUUCCAUGCACGCGGCGCAGAACGAGCUGCUCCCCCUCCGCGUCGUCGUGCAGGUGCUCUUCUUCGAGAACGCGCGCGCCGCCGGACUCUCGUCCGGGCACGGCAACCGCGUCGCCGCGCGCUUUCCCGGCGACGGCGGCGACGUCAGUGCGCUGCUUGGCACUGGCAGGCCAAGAACGACGGAGGAGAACGGCAAGGACGGGCAGAGCCCCGCCGCCGCCGGGAGCGUGGCGGCGGACGGCGACUGGAGCGUGGAGGGGCUGAGGCGCGCGGCGUCGAGGGUGGCGACGCUGAAGAUGAGGCUGGAGGAGGAGGACGGCGAGGACGCCGGCGACGAGGCGUUCGUGCAUAGGACGCGCGCGGGGUUGGCACGGAGCGCGUCGUCGCGUGUCACGGCGGCGGCGGGGAGGUCCAAGCGGAUGCUGAGCAGGCUAUGGCCGACGAGCAGAACCUUCACCUAAGGGGCAUCAAGACACUUGAGCAAAGCUGAUCCGUACAUACCGUGUACAAAUAUGCUUGAAUUUAGGCAGAGUUGCAGAGACAGGAGAGGCCACCAGUGGGAAGCGGAUUCUCUCCCGUAACUUUCCUUGACAUGGUCACUGACAUAUGGGCCUGCGAGCGCUGGCGCUCACAUGCUAGUCACCACAUUCCUCUAACUUUACGUUAGAGCAUCCCAAUCUCGACGAGUGACUUGGCCUGUCUUGUGUACGUCAAUACACUAAAGUUAGUGUAUCUUAAGCAAAUUUUGAAAUAAGAAAAAACUAAUUCUAUUGACCCCCUCAAA